UAGGGAAUCUUCGGCAAUGGGGGCAACCCUGACCGAGCAACGCCGCGUGAGUGAAGAAGGUUUUCGGAUCGUAAAGCUCUGUUGUAAGAGAAGAACGAGUGUGAGAGUGGAAAGUUCACACAGUGACGGUAACUUACCAGAAAGGGACGGCUAACUACGUGCCAGCAGCCGCGGUAAUACGUAGGUCCCGAGCGUUGUCCGGAUUUAUUGGGCGUAAAGCGAGCGCAGGCGGUUUAAUAAGUCUGAAGUUAAAGGCAGUGGCUUAACCAUUGUUCGCUUUGGAAACUGUUAAACUUGAGUGCAGAAGGGGAGAGUGGAAUUCCAUGUGUAGCGGUGAAAUGCGUAGAUAUAUGGAGGAACACCGGUGGCGAAAGCGGCUCUCUGGUCUGUAACUGACGCUGAGGCUCGAAAGCGUGGGGAGCAAACAGG
rnacentral:rRNA from 1 species